GAUGAACGCUAGCGGCAGGCUUAACACAUGCAAGUCGAGGGGUAUAGUUCUUCGGAGCUAGAGACCGGCGCACGGGUGCGUAACGCGUAUGCAAUCUACCUUUUGCAGAGGGAUAGCCCAGAGAAAUUUGGAUUAAUACCUCAUAGUAUGUGAGAAUGGCAUCAUUUUCACAUUAAAGUCACAACGGCAAAAGAUGAGCAUGCGUCCCAUUAGCUUGUUGGUAAGGUAACGGCUUACCAAGGCAACGAUGGGUAGGGGUCCUGAGAGGGAGAUCCCCCACACGGGUACUGAGACACGGACCAGACUCCUACGGGAGGCAGCAGUGAGGAAUAUUGGACAAUGGGCGCAAGCCUGAUCCAGCCAUGCCGCGUGCAGGAUGACGGUCCUAUGGAUUGUAAACUGCUUUUGUACAGGAAGAAACACUGGUUCGUGAACCAGCUUGACGGUACUGUAAGAAUAAGGAUCGGCUAGCUCCGUGCCAGCCGCCGCCGUAACAC
rnacentral:rRNA from 1 species